GAGUAAAAAUUUAAUUUCGAGUAUCCUGAGUCAGACCGGUAGAAUUAAACCGGACCGGGUCGAGUCGGCCAAAUCGGACCGGCCUUCUUCCUUUUCUUCUCUUCUUCCCUGCGCGUCCCAAUGCCUUCCCUCUCUCCCUCGUUUUCUCUCUCCUCUUUCCUCCCCUUAUCGCCUCACUGCCGCCCCUCCCUUCCCAGCUCACCGGUGCGCCUCCAGGGACCUUACCCAUUGCCGGCCACAGCUCCAGUGGUCGGAAAAAUGCGCACACAGUCCCUUCAACGCGCCGCACGACGCUUCGGCUUCCUGGGUCGAUUCCGGCCGAUCCGGCCACCGAUUAUACCGAGUCUUAUCCCAAAACCUAUCUACACCUCGAGAGCUUUCUAUAGA
rnacentral:misc_RNA from 1 species